CCUAAACGUGCUAGUCUACCGGGAAUCCGUUGAAUGAGGUGCGUGCACUGAUUUCACAAUGACGAGAGUGACGAACUGGUGAGUAACACGUGGGGAAUCUGCCCAGAAGCAGGGGAUAACACUUGGAAACAGGUGCUAAUACCGUAUAACAACAAAAUCCGCAUGGAUUUUGUUUGAAAGGUGGCUUCGGCUAUCACUUCUGGAUGAUCCCGCGGCGUAUUAGUUAGUUGGUGAGGUAAAGGCCCACCAAGACGAUGAUACGUAGCCGACCUGAGAGGGUAAUCGGCCACAUUGGGACUGAGACACGGCCCAAACUCCUACGGGAGGCAGCAGUAGGGAAUCUUCCACAAUGGACGAAAGUCUGAUGGAGCAAUGCCGCAAGAGUGAAAAAAGGAUUCGGCCCGCAAAACUCUGUGGUUUAAGAAGAACACCGUUGAGAGUACCUGUACCAGGGUUGACAGUAUUUAACCAGAAAGCCACGGCUAACUACGGGCCAGAAGACGCGGUAAUACGUAGGUCGCAAGCGUUGUCCGGAUUUAUUAGGCGUAAAGCGAGCGCAACCCGUUAUUUAAGUCAGAUGUGAAAGCAUUCAGCUUAACCGGAGAACUGCAUCGGAAACCGGGAGAAUUGAGUGCAGAAGAGGACAGUCAAACUCCAUGUGUAGCGGUGGAAUGCGUAGAUAUAUGGAAGAACACCAGUGGCGAAGGCGGCUGUCUAGUCUGUAACUGACGCUGAGGCUCGAAAGCAUGGGUAGCGAACAGGAUUAGAUACCCUGGUAGUCCAUGCCGUAAACGAUGAGUGCUAAGUGUUGGAGGGUUUCCGCCCUUCAGUGCUGCAGCUAACGCAUUAAGCACUCCGCCUG
rnacentral:rRNA from 1 species